AAAGAAAGAAUAAUUCCUCUCCCGCUUAACCACUAAAGAACAGCAUAUGUUUCUAACGUCAGCUUUUUAUUUUUUUUUUAUCUUUCAUUUUUUGUUGGUAAAUCUCCCAGACAACAACAGUUCUGUAGAGAGUUUAAAUAUGAAGGAAUGGCAGGACGGGCUAAGGGCACUUCUACCCAACAUUAACAUCAACUUUGGUGGACUGCCCAAUUCUUCUUCCCCCUCCAACGCCAACCACAGUGCACCAACGUCCAACACUGCCACCACGGACAGCGUGAGUUGGGACAGCCCUGGCAGCUGGACAGACCCAGCCAUCAUCACAGGUAACUCUCUCCCCCGCCCCUGUCCCCCUCAGCUCCACUCACAGCCAUCAGUGUGGUUUCUAGCACAGACUAAGUCAGAACAGGGGUCUCUGUGACAUAAGUUCCUUUUCACAAAGCCUGAUUCAUUCUUAGGGUCAUGGUGAACCUGUCCACCUAGUUGUGUUCUGAGGCACUUGUGCCUGGGCUAAUUCCUCUUGGUCUAAGUAGGUGUUACCGUCUGGCAGCAUGCGUGUAUUUUGUAGGCCUCAAACUACUAAAGGAUCUAACUGAGCCAUCUUAAGAGAAACAUACUCCACUCUUUAUAAAGCUCUCUAUAUAAGGCUGUCUGUGUCCACAUCCCUGCUAGAGAGGGACAGGCGCAACGGGGAACCCACCAUUCACUUUUGGGAGGCCUGGGGUUCUUUGGUGGGAGGUUGCUUGUCUGGGAGGGACUUUUGCUUUUGUUUUUCUGCUGUUCCGCCUCUGAAAGCGAGGGACCAAGUUUUCCGAGGGUUUGUGUAACAGUAA
rnacentral:lncRNA from 1 species